rnacentral:rRNA from 1 species
GACGAACCGAGCGAACGUUAUUCGGAAUCACUGGGCUUAAAGGGCGCGUAGGCGGGCCGUCAAGUCAGAGGUGAAAGACUUCGGCUCAACCGAAGAAUUGCCUUUGAUACUUCUUGUCUUGAAUCCGAGAGAGGAUAGUGGAAUUCAUGGUGUAGCGGUGAAAUGCGUAGAGAUCAUGAAGAACACCAGUAGCGAAGGCGGCUAUCUGGCUCGGUAUUGACGCUCAGGGACGAAAGCGUGGGUAGCAAACAGG